rfam:Strigamia maritima strain Brora ctg7180001230052, whole genome shotgun sequence.
UCCCAGGUAGCUUAAUGGUAAAGAACCCAACCGGCAAUUUGGGGAUCUGGGUUCAAGUCCCAGUCCGGGCU